CAUUCGCAAAAUCUAGGCCGAGAUCUGGCGCUCCACCGCGACUCGCCGGAGCGCCGCCUCCCGCCGGGCGUCCGUUGGGUACCUCUUCUUUCCGCUGCCUGUCUCGCCGCUGCCCCUGGUCUCGCGGAGCUUCGGAACUCCAAGGUCCAACUGGCAUGCCUCGUGCGCCUCAUGUGCUCGCGCCACUCCUCCACCGCGGCGGCGGCGGUGGAGGAGGAGGCUCGGCGCGGGCGGAAGCAGCUGGGGAUGACGGCUGACGCCGCCGCUCUACGGCUACCUCCUCGCCAACGUCCGCAAGCGCCCCGUGCACCACCCUCUCGUCUCCGUCUCUCGUUUCCAUUCGUUUCGACCAAAUUGUGCGGGAAAUUUUGCUGGACUCUGACUCCUUGAUGGCUUCAGGUUCUCCGGGAGAUUCAGUUGUUAGAUUGUUGACCAUGUGUCAACGGAAUCGCUGGGACUGGGAGCGGAUGUUCAGACAUGCGCAAGUGUGGUUUACUCUUUUCUCUGAUGAUGUUGGAUGUGGUCCGCAGAAGACUAAAUUGAGUUUGGUUCAAUCAUUGUGAAUUUGGCAUCUUUAACGUUUGCUGCAAUGUGAUAUACUGGUAUUGUUGUUGGAGGUUCCUGUAUGCAAGUGGUAGAUGUCAAAAUUAAGUUCAGAUUCGAAUAUCUUGUAAAGCAUCAACAAUGCCAGUUGCUUAUGCCUUUAUCGCAAAAUGCAUACAAGCAACUGAAGCAGUGGAAUGAACUGCAGCCUCUAGACCUGAACAAUCAUUCUAUCUGCAGCAGCAAUACAACCAAUCAUCACACACAUUGGGUUUUUCAGAGCAGGAUGUGAGCCAAGAACAGCAAAAUGUAUAACUGCAUCAGAGAAGAGACAUUCAGCUGAAACGUACUUUUGCCUGUCCUUCAGGAGACCACAGUACAGGACAUUAUCCGGCAUGACCAUUUCAGUGAUGUUGUAGCCCAGCGGAUCAGGAACCUUCACAUAGACCUCCUGCCCUCUGUACCAGUUAUCCAGCUUCUCCGCACGCAGAUUCCAGAUACCAACAUUGUCAAGUGAGACUAGGACCGCAGUCCAGCCUCCAGGGAAGACCUGUUUGUCAUUGCAAAGUUCAGAACUUUCGUUGUUCAAACUGACCAAGGGUGCAGCUGUGUGAAGUACAGGACUGGCACAUGAUCAUUUUUUUUUACAAAAAGAAUGGUCUCUGCGACCGCACAUAGCCAGUUGGUCCUCAAGAAGUUGUAUACCUGAGUCGUGCAGCGAGAUAUGGCGUCCCACCUGUUGUACUCAUUCCUCCUGUCUGGUGUCCACUCGCCGUAAUCCAUCCUGAAAUUCACAACAUGGUGGUAUUCCUUUCAGAUGUUCAAGCUGAUAUGAAACACUGGAUGAACCUGAAGGUUGUGAUGGUUCAGAAUAUACCCUACAACAAAGAAUGAGUAACCAUCCAGAUGGUAGGCCUGAACGUCACUGUCAUUGUUCUGGAAGAUGAUCUCAAGGAAGCCCUUGUAGGAUGCGUUCAGUGCAGAUGAAGCUAUCUUUGCUGGCACGUUGCUUGGCAUUGCAGGGAAAUCAGUUGUGUAAACUCCAGUAAGGUUGUGGAGGUCAGCAAGCCUCAGUGGUGUCUCAGGAGGAGAGUAUGAGAUCCUGUUGAUCGUCCUCCGAUGCUUUCCAUUGAUGCGCAAGGGCGCCUCGUUCUUGAGAACAAAUGUCUGAGUGAUGUUGAUCGAACCAUAAUGGAACGAUCCCUGCGGAUUUGGACGGGCAGCACCAGCACUCGUGUUCAUUCUGAAAGAACAAUGCCAGUGGCUCUUAAUAGAGAACAUAUAUGAAUAUCAAAUGCAACCAUAAAAGUUACAACCUUCAAAUACAGAACAAUAAUCAGAUAUGCUAAGCUCAGAAUCAAAGUAACUCUUUUUUUUAUAAAAAAAAAGCAGUUCCAAUUCAAGAACAGAAUCUGUUCCUGCACUGACCUGAUGGACCUUGCCUGGUUGAUGGAGUAGUACUUGUCAUAGUAAUCAUUUGGAGCAUCAGGGAGAGGCCCAGAAGCUUUGCCUUUGGAGUUUGAGUACUGCAGGAUGGCUACACCAGUGACCUGACUCCAUUGAGGAUUGCUUAUGAACCUUGGGCUCGCUACAAUGUAGUAGUCAGUGCUUGCAUUUUGGUCCAUGGUCACCAAGAAAGAGUACGACUGUCCCACAUGUAUGUCGAGGUUGGUGUAGUUCUGCUGAUUGGUGUAGGUUCCUUCAGCCUCUACCAGAAGCAUGUUGUGAUUCUGGAUCCUGAAGUUGAGGCUAGUUGAGAUGCCAACAUUGUGGACACGGAAGCGAUACGUUUUCCCUGUUACAAAUAUUCAGAGCAUCAGACAUCAAGACUCAUGAUAAACAGUAAUGCUGAUAGAUAUUGAUCAAUUUAAGAUGCAUAUGAGAACAA